rnacentral:rRNA from 1 species
UACUAGAGUAGCACUCGCAUAUCAAUAAGCGGAGGAAAAGAAACUAACAAGGAUUCCCCUAGUAACGGCGAGUGAAGCGGGAAGAGCUCAAAUUUGAAAUCUUAAAGGGUUUCCCUUUACGAAUUGUAGUUUAAAGAAGUGUUUUCUGUUGAGGUUUUGGUAAAAGUUCUUUGGAAUAGGACAUCAUAGAGGGUGAGAAUCCCGUAUUUGACCUUUACUUUCAACUUUGUGAUACACUUUCAAAGAGUCGGAUUGUUUGGGAAUGCAGUCCAAAAUGGGUGGUAAAUUUCAUCUAAAGCUAAAUAUUGGCGAGAGACCGAUAGCGAACAAGUACCGUGAGGGAAAGAUGAAAAGAACUUUGAAAAGAGAGUUAAACAGUACGUGAAAUUGUCAAAAGGGAAGCGUUUGACACCAGUGUUGUUUUUCUGAAAAUCAAUUAAAGAACUGUUUAUGCUAAGCUGUUUAGACUUUAUCAGCUAUCUGUUUAGUUUUGAGCUUUUCUUUAAUGCACUUUUCAGUUAACAAGUCAACAUCAAUUUCUUUUGCUGUAAAAAAGCUUGAGGAAGGUGGCUUGAGAUUCGUCUUAAGUGUUUAUAGCCUCUUGCCUAUGCAGUCGGAGAGAUUGAGGUCUGCAGCGUAGAUCCUUCGGGGCUAAAUGCAUUUGUGCUAAGUUAUAGCAUUUUAUAGACAACUUGUUGACUAUGAUUCGUCUUGUAGCUUACUCGCUUAUGUUAUUUUACCUACGCUUAGGAUGUUGAGUCAUCACACAUCUCU